rnacentral:rRNA from 1 species
UACGUAGGUGGCAAGCGUUGUCCGGAUUUACUGGGCGUAAAGGGCGCGUAGGCUGUGCUGUAAGUCAGGCGUGAAAGCCCCGGGCUCAACCUGGGAAUUGCGCUUGAUACUGCGGCGCUGGAAGGUGGGAGAGGAUGGCGGAAUUCCCAGUGUAGAGGUGAAAUUCGUAGAUAUUGGGAAGAACACCGGUGGCGAAGGCGGCCAUCUGGCCCAUUUUUGACGCUGAGGCGCGAAAGCGUGGGGAGCAAACAGG